ACGAACGCUGGCGGCGUGCUUAACACAUGCAAGUCGAACGAUGAACCGCUUUCGGGCGGGGAUUAGUGGCGAACGGGUGAGUAACACGUGGGCAAUCUGCCCUGCACUCUGGGACAAGCCCUGGAAACGGGGUCUAAUACCGGAUAUGACUGUCCAUCGCAUGGUGGAUGGUGUAAAGCUCCGGCGGUGCAGGAUGAGCCCGCGGCCUAUCAGCUUGUUGGUGAGGUAGUGGCUCACCAAGGCGACGACGGGUAGCCGGCCUGAGAGGGCGACCGGCCACACUGGGACUGAGACACGGCCCAG
rnacentral:rRNA from 1 species